rnacentral:rRNA from 1 species
AUUGAACGCUGGCGGCAGGCCUAACACAUGCAAGUCGAGCGAGCGGCGGACGGGUGAGUAAUGUCUGGGAAACUGCCUGAUGGAGGGGGAUAACUACUGGAAACGGUAGCUAAUACCGCAUACCAUCAGAUGUGCCCAGAUGGGAUUAGCUAGUAGGUGGGGUAACGGCUCACCUAGGCGACGAUCCCUAGCUGGUCUGAGAGGAUGACCAGCCACACUGGAACGGAGACACGGGCAGGACGCCUACGGUGGGCAGGAGUGGGGAAUAUUGCACAAUGGGCGAAAGCCUGAUGCAGCCAUGCCGCGUGUGUGAAGAAGGCCUGCGGGUUGUAAAGCACUUUCAGCGGGGAGGCGUUACCCGCAGAAGAAGCACCGGCUAACUCCGUGCCAGCAGCCGCGGUAAUAC